AGAAACUGUGAUGCGGAGACGCGUCCCCUUUUCAAACCACUGUGAAAACGCACGUUGCUUCGGCAGCUCCCUCGCCUGGCGGGGUGGUCAGCCUGCCGACGGCACCAACCAAACCAUUCAGUAACCGCGGUCUGAACAACGAAAGCAAAUCGUUA
rnacentral:misc_RNA from 1 species